AGGGGAAAUAGCAUAGUUAGUGUGUUCUGUUUACACCAGAAAGGUGGUUUAUAUAAUCUUUCUCUUU
rnacentral:tRNA from 1 species